ensembl:lncRNA
AGGCUCUCAGGGCUAGCUCUGUGGUUCCUGCUUGUUCUUGGUGUAUUUUCAGCUGGGAGUUGGUGCCUUGGGUUAUCUUCAUCCUGCACAUAGGAACAGCAUGGAGAGGAGUUGGAGACUGCAGGCUCUACAGCAGGGCUGGAGGAAUCAUGCUGGGGAACCGCAGCCAGGACUGCCUGGUCCUCAAACAGCUGCUGAGGGAAGGCUGCUUCCUGAGAGGAGCACAGCAGGGACCGAAGGAUGCCAUUCACUGGCCGAAGACUGGGGAUGGAUUUGACUUAGCCCGCACCAGGCCACCAGGAGAUGGACCCAUCCUGCACGCAUCCCCAGGUCCAGGAGCUGCUUCCCCUGCUGCUGCAUGGAGAGCAUCCCUGCAGGCAGUUGGGUCAGCCCAGCGCAGUGCCACCUGCAGCAGCUUCGCGUCCGCUGAGCCACGCUCAAAGAAACGUGAGAGCAGAGCUGCUGCUGACAAUGAAAUGGGAGAGACAAGUAUUUAUUCUGCUCGGACCUCCUCGAGAAGCAGAUGCACGCCGGCAGAAUGCUAAGCAGAGCGGCGGUUCGGGGAGACAAAUGUCCAGGCAGCUUUUCUGUAAUAUCCAUUUGAAAGAAGCUUAGUGCCACCAGGCUUUCAUCUCAAUAUUCCUGAGGCCGGAUUUGAAAGUGCUUAAGGUUAAAUAUUACUCACUCUUGGAAAGAACAUCUCCAUCUGUCUCAUAAAAAAAAGCUUUCAGUCUUGGAGGUACUCAGGGAAACUUACCCAUAAACACAGUCAUCAGAGAUUUCCGAGGGGAAAAAAAAUCCUAUAGGCUCUGCCUGAGAAGUAAUUAGCCUUUCAAAUUCAGCAAUGUUUAAUCCCACAAAGCCUUAUAUACAAAAUAUAAUCCUGUUUUUCUUCAGAGCUGAGCCAGUGAGGGAGCAUGACCCCACCGGACCAGGCUGUGCACAGCUGGGUCCCAUUGGCCACAUCUGGGUGUCACGAGGUGCGGAAUGAGAAGGAGGCAUCCAGCAAGCCCAGCUCACCCCAAGUACCCCAAAGGAUGCUCUGGGCCCUGGGGUGAUGACCCUGUGAGGAUGCAGCUGGCAGGAGGCACUGUGGCACAUCCCCAGGUUGCUGAGAGAUGCUCUGGCUGCUAAAUGCCCAAAUCGCUUUGGAAAACUGGAUUUAAGCAGCCAGUUUUGAACGCUCGUGGUAACAGAGGAACCUGAAAUAACAUUGUGUGAUUUGGGGUGAAGUGCCCUGAGGCCUGCUGAUAAUAAUUGUAGCACUCUUUAAAAAGAAAAAUGACUUUUUUUUUUCCUGGGCAUUCAAAGCAGCUGACAGCAUCCCAGGGGACCUCCUGCUGCUUUCGAGAGGAGAAAUUGCAGCUUUUCAGAGGCUGAGAAAUGACACCACUCUGCAACCCACGCUGCUCCCGCGGAUCUCAGCUCCAGCACAGCAACACGGUGCUGAGGCCGCGGGCUCAGGGCUGCCACCAGGCAGGGGAUGUGCAGGCAAUGCAACGUCUGUCAGCAGAAACAUCAGCAUCCAUUCCUAACCAUCUGGAAGAAGCUGGUGCAAAGCUCUGCGUUAGAAAGUGCUCCUUGUUCAUCCUCGUGGUAAGAGAUGAGGUAGGUCCUGCCAACUCGGUGGCUCGUGGCUUGUUUCCCCUCCCAGGUGUGAUGCCUCAGCCAUCCCAUGGGUGCCCCGAGAGCUGCAAGGCUGGGAGAUGAGGUCUGAAGCAUCCCAGUGCAAUCGCUGACCAUUGAAUGAAACCAAUCUCAAUAAGAAGACUGAUUUAAGUGAGUUCUUGUGUUCUCCACAGCAGCUUCCCUGCUCCCUGCUGAGCUCAGCCUCCCAGUGUGACAUGGGAUAUCUCCCUUAAACCACAUAAAACUUGAGUUUUAUGAGACAGAAACUGAAGGGCACAACGCACUGAUAGCUGUGUGUUGACUGCUGAUAGGUGCACUGAGGAGCUAAUAAGAUAAUCUGGCUUUUAAUGCAUUGAUCGUAGCUAUUUGGUUACAGUAGAAAAAAGGUCUAACAGGAAAUGCUAAUAAUGUCACAAAACUUGAAGCAAAUGAAGGAAGUUCAUAAAAAUAAAGAGCACAAAAGCGAUGUCUGCUCUUAGAUAAGUAUUAUUAUUGGGCUUUGAUGCCCAUCUUGACCUGGCUGUUAAGCAAUGCCCAGCUGUAUGGGCUCUGUAGCUUGGGCAAAGGGCAAAUGCAACGAGGAAGGCCGGGUAUCUCAUAGCAGCAUACAAAAGUGAGCAGAUCAAUACCAAUAAACUACUUCAGAUAGUGAUUAAUUAAUAGGAAUUAAUUUUAAAAAGAAGAGGCUAUUGACGUAAAUUGACAGAGGUGCUAACCUCAGAGCAAUUCAGAGAGAAUGUCUUUAAAACAGAGUGAUUAAGUUGUAGAAAGUAAUAAAAGGGCUGCGCUGCCUCCAGGAUGAGCUCAGCCAGCCUGGGAACGAAGACAGGAGAGCCUCUAAUUAGAUGCUGGAGCUUGAUGAGGUAACUGACUGGGUUGGCACUGCCAGCCUGGAGUUCAGUUGUGUCACUUCUGAGUGUGUCCUGGGUGUGAGGACAGAGGGAUUCCUGCAGGGUGCUGACAGCUGUGGAAUCGGAGAUGGAAGCAAGGAUCCUAGCAAGGAAUGGUCAGUGUUUCACCUCUCCAGCACUGCAGUGAUGUUACUCACUAUUAUUACAGGCUGCAUGGACCAAGACGACAGGGGACCAAGCACAGCCCAUGGCCACGGUGGGGAUGAGUCAGUCUUGGUCUUUUGACUUCUCAAGUUCGUGGGAGUGUGAAUUAAUGGAACACUUCUGAAAAUGAAAGGGAGGCACCCAGUGGUCCUUUGCGGCGAGGCGGAGAGGUGUGACAGCACAGCAGGCCAAAGCUACGUGUUGGAAUCUUCAUCUCUUAUCCCCUGUCUUCUUUGGUGUUUUGAAGCACUGGAAGACCAUUUUUAGGAAGGUGACCCUAAUCAAGUGGAAUGUAUUUCCAAAUCUUCAUUAAGCCCAUCUUAUGUGAUGACCCUCCAUCCGAGCAGGCAUCCAGCUGUGGGCCAGACUUUCUGGCCCCAAGGAAGAGGCCGCCCUCUCCCCACAGCCUUCCUCUGCCUUCACCCUGGAGCAAAGCCACUGAUCAGAAGCUGGAGGAAAGGGUUAACUGUGGGUCUGAGAUGCAGGCCGUAUCUGAUUGCUCUGUGGUUAUGGAAAACUAAAGUUGUGUGCCACGUGCACAGCAGUUCCAAGCUGGUUUCUGCAGGUCUGCUGAGCGCACAGUCUUCAGAGCAGCCCCAGCCUUUAUUUUUGGUUUUGCUAUCUCUGCAAAUGGAGCUGUUUACUAACAACAUUUCCUAACAGACAAUUAAAAGCUGAUUUAUAUAAGGCUUCAAAAAAAAAAAAAAAAAGGAAUUCCAGAAGUUAAGUGUUUUCAGCUCAUUUUGAAAUAGCUCGGUUAAAUGAGAGUAACAGGGAGCUGAGCCCUGCUUUGCAAAACAAAUCGCUGUGAUUGGAUUCAUCUGCGCAACAAUGGGAGCUCUUGCUAAAUGGCAGCUUGGCAGCUUCAGAGAAGACCUUGGCUGGGAUCUCAACCCAAAAGCUCGCUCUGGACAGUGCUGGGGCUGCUGCCCUUCAGCAGGACAUGGCUCAAGCCCCAAGCAGCCAGUGGCCGCCCCAGCCUGCGGGCUGUAUCAUCCCAGCACCACGCUGGGUUGGUGGAGAUGUGGGAUUCAUCCUACAGUGCCAUCGAGUUGCUCCCUCUGAGCUGAAAGGCUGAAGACAGCUUUGUCUGCGGUGGCUCACAGAGCAAGCUAUUAUUGGGACUGAAGACCUAAAAUAACCUUGAAGAAAGAAAAAAGUGGUUGUGGGAAUUAAGGAAAGAAGGAUCCAACGGGUCCAUUGUUAAUGGUUGGCAUCAUUAUAAAGUUCACAAUUGGCGACUUAUUUAAAGACUGCUUUUCUUUGAGUGCUUUACGCUGUGCAAAUCCAUCUUGAAGGGAAUGACAUUCCCUCAAACUCCUAUCAACAUUUACGUUUGCAGGAACGAACUGCCUCUAAGCUUUUAUUUGAGCAAUUAAGACAAUUGCAGCAAGCGGUUCCAAAUCCUGAUAGGAGUUCUUACUUGCAAACCAGCACUCCCUGCUGGGGCUGGCAGCCUGGCUUUAUGGCCAUGUUAGUAAGUGGGAGCCGAGGAAGUGCCUUCCUCUGGGCACAGCAUAAACCAAACCAGUUCUUGGCUGUUCUAGCAGAGAGUGAGGACAGCAAACAGAGUGCACGGCUCUGAAAAUUGAAUGAGGGUUUUCAUAUUUCUGCUUGUAUUAUUAAUCUACAAUAUGGUCUUUUAACACCGUUCAUCAACAUCAUUGUGGUUUAAGCACAAUUUAACCUGGCAUUCCUCCUGACAGCUUGAGAACAUCGUAUUUGUGCUUGGCUCCCAUCUUGGGCUCUUUUCUUGCUCUUGUUUCAGCAUGUUGAUGGGUGUGGACAUCCUGCAUCUCACUCAUACCAACCAGAAGCUUUUUAUUCUUGCCUGCAAGCGCUGGUGAAGUAACAACAAGCACCAUGCAUGGUCCAGCACAGGAAGCCCUGCGAGCACAGCCACCUCCAAGGCAAUAAAAGCAUCACUGCGAAAAAUGAAAAACAACAAAACAGAGCAUGGGACUACUCCCAAUGCCAGUUCAUCUCCGUUUCAAAUAUCAGUCCCAUUCAGUUCUAAAUGUCAGGGCCCAAUUCUCCAAUUCCCAUCAAAACAGAGGCAGUGCAACCCUCCCUUCUCCUGUGGGUCCCUGCCUGGUGGUAGCACCUGGAGGUGCUUAGUCCCGCUCUGCCUGCAGCACUGAGCUUCUUCCAGCCCAAGGGAAGCCCUGGCUCAACCAGCUACAAUAAAGCCAACGAUGGUGUGGCGCAAGGGACAGCGUGCUGCCAGCAGGCACAUCACCCUGUCCAUCCUGAUGGCCAUGGCUCUUCACAUCAGCUCUGCUGACUCCUCUGAACUCCCAGGAACAUAUGUUGAUAGCAAGCUACAUCAAGAUUUGCAGCAAAGAGAGUUUUAUAAUAAUAUUUUACUAGCUCUAGUAUGCAUGUUAUUGUACGGUUAAGAACAAAAUAGGAAACACAUGUGUAGAUAUUAUGUGCUGCAGAAGUUAAAUUCCAUCAGUGACCACAGAAAUAUUUAUGUUUAUGGUUUGUAAUGAAAAACUGAAUUAUAAUUAUGGAUUUACAGAAGUUUGAGUACAAUACCAUCACAGCAUUUGCAAAGAAAUGCUAAUUCUCAACACUAAAGCCCCCAGUCAGUGCACAUCUUGACAAUGCAGAGACAUCUCACUUCAUAAAGCUUAUACAACGUGUCCAGUAUCCAUUUCUUUUAUGAUCUAACUCAUGCAAAAAAUUUAAUAAAGUUGUAUUUGCUUUUCCAAAGGCAUGUAAGUGUGCACAUGUGGAAGGAUAUAUGGGGAAUGCCUCAGAAAGGGGGAAAAUUCUUGAUCAUAGAGAAGCGAGAGAUGGGAGUAUGUCUACAAAGAUGCUGAGGUUAUAUUCUUGGAUUGAAGGCAUCAAGAGAGAUGUCAGCACAGCCCCUUGACUUCUUGAGCCAUGAUGUCUUCUGCUGAGGAAUGAACAGAAGAGAAUGCUCCCUUCUGUUCAGGAGGCGAAGGAAGGAGAAAGACACAACUGGACGAUGCAUCUCAUGGGUGACUCAAAGGCUCACUUGUCUCAGUGCUGCCAGAAUGAAAGUUUUGCAGCCAUGCUGUUAUAAUACAGAGAGCUUAUUUUCAGAUUUUUUUUUUCCUAAGGAUAAGGCAGCAGAACUGAGGACAGCUGAAGUAAACUAAUGCCUGAGUUCUACUAAUGAGCAAGCAAAUACUUUUGUAUGGCUGCCUCCAAUGGUGGGUGAUGACUCUCUAUUGAUUGGGUUGAGCAAGAUUGCUCUCUAAUUACAUGAGUCACCCACGCUCUAAAAAUGGAAAAGAAAACUGGCACCGGGAGCUGCCCAGGAGGCUGUGACACAAGCUUCCAGGACUGGAGCAAAAUGAAGCCAUAAAUCACCGUGACAGAUGAUCGAUGUAAACAUUGUUUCCGCCAUGAUUGCCAGCGCUCCCCGCGGGCUCACUGUCCGCUCGCCAUUCGCUGGGCUUGCAGCCGGGAGCCGCGCUCACGCACCGAAGUCGCUCCUGCCCAAGAAGUAACCAUCUCAUUUCGGGGCUCAGCCCAAGCGCCCGAUAGCGAAUAUUAAUCAAAACGCCC